AAGAAAGAAAGCUGUGUGAUGGCGAGCUGACUGCAGACUAUUGGCCUGACCUGGAGGAAAAAAGCCCCCUCUGUGCAUGGCUCAGGGUGAGAUCCAUACUUUGCCCUCUCUCUUCCCUUCUCACUUACCUUUUUCUCUUUCUUAGUAGGGAGGAGGGAUGUAGGUAAUGAAGCUUAAGUGAGCCUGGUGUCUGGUAAUGUAAUAUACACAAAGCCCUUGUCAGGUCUGGAUCCAAUAAUGUGUCAUUUACCACGUCUGGAACAGAUUGGCCCAGAUGAUCGGAGUGAACCUUUGCCCGGGUGAAGAGUGCUCAGCAUCCCUCGGCCUGGAGGCCUUACAAGCAGGCCCUUGACUCACCCCAUGUCCCCUGCACCUUUCACCUCUUCUCACCCAUCUCUCAUAAAAGCCAAAGCAUGCCUCGGACGAGAUAGUUUGUGUGACAAUUUGUGAGCAUUUGUAUCAGUCGUAUUAUUUGCAGCUUGAAGAGCUUUCUUUAAUAAAAAGUUUUUGAAACAGUCGCCGUGAGCAGAAAGUUUCAUCAAGUAACAAAUGUUUUAGAUGAGCAGACAUUUUAAAUUCUGCCCAUUUUCACACCUAGAUACUCUUUUUGAAACACUUCUUAAUACAUGUUGUUUUUUUUGACACAAAAUUUGCCUGUUUUAAUGUUAAUCUAUAAUCUAAUGUUAAUCUAUACAAAUGUUCACUGUCUUCUUGCAGUCCCCGGGAAGAGUAGCUGUUACUUAAGUAGUAGCUAAUGGGGAUCCAAAUAAAUAAAUAAAUAUCAAUCAGCUCAAAAAACAAUUUUCCACCCAGACAGGAAACAGAAGAGAAGUGACAAACAUAGAUGCCUGACAGCUCUGAAUUAUAUUAACUAGGAUUACAGGAGCAGAAGUUUAGAUGUUAUGAGCUGUGGAUGUACUUAAAUAGUAGGAAAGCAUGCAGCACUCUAUUUUUUAUUAUUGUGGACCCAAAAUGUCAUUCUUUGUGUCCAAACUGUGGUGCAGCCACUGCUAACAGCUAGAGGUGCAUUUUGCGUUAAUGGCUACUGUAACGCUAUACUGUUCUUCUAUUGGUUUAAACAAGCACGGAUGACAGGGAGCAACUGCUGCACAGCACAGUUUGACAAUAAUUUGAUUUAGAAAAUAGAAAAAUAGAGAAGAUAAAUGUAAGCACUUGACCUGAAGUAUGCAUAUCCAGCACAUAAACAGACUUAAACUAGCAAAGACAACCAAAAGCACUGCUGAUGUUAGCCAUAAUCAACAAACAAAUUGAACAUUAUUUACGCGCAGACUCUAUGAUCUCAUGCUUAGCAGUGUUUAGUAUAUUUUCCUCAAAGACACAACUGCUUUUUGAUGCUGAGUCAGCAGAAACCACUAAUAUUGGGAUGCCACUAGGAUCCUUCCUUGGCCCAUUAAUUUUUUACAAACUAGAUAAACAGCACAGCAUCUUCUCACAAGUAUUUCUAAAUCACUCUUUAUGCAGACAAUGUACUACAAUGAACUCACCUUAGAUUCAUGUUCCUGUUACUACUCAGUCAUCUAUUCAUCACUGACUAGAUUUUAUCACUGACAAAACAAUACCAAAGUGUUUUCUCUACCUGUCUAUCAAAACUUUUCAAAAAAGUGUUUGAUAACAUCAGAUACUCUGAUUAACAUCGGGGUAUAAUAGCAGGAUUCUCACCCUGACAGUGUUUUCAAACAUUAAGUAAAAGUCUAGUUUUGGAGAGCUUUUGUUUUCUUAGGGGACCAGGGUGGGUUCACAGAAUGAGAUCAUGUUGCUAAUUACUGGUAGUAGUGGACUGUGUUUUAGAAAAGCAGCUUAUCAGCAAUUUGUGGAGACAGGGAGAGUGCAUUUGCUCAUAGUGGUAAUUACCAGAGCAGGGUCCAAUGAAGUUGCUGUAAAUGCAGGUCUAGAAGGGCAUGUGUGCGAUUUCACCACUCCAUCUCUGGUUGCCUGAGUCCCGGGCCCAGCCUCUGGCCCACACAGAGAGCGCUGGGCCUUGGAGGUCUACAGCUGUGGAUGAGAAAGAAGAGAAAUGCAAGGAGAUAUAUUGGGUGUGGAGGUCCAGAUUUUGAAAAGUCCAGUUUUAGUUUAGUUUUUCUGUUUUUUUCUUCUUUUUCUUUACCUUCAAGUCUGAUCUUUGACAUUAAGUAUCGACUAAAAAACUGUUCUGGCCUGUGGAAAGCGAUCAGUGGUAGGAAAGAGCUAUUAAGACAAUGCAGCUGCUGUUUAUAUCCUUGCACCUCCUUUAAAUUAAUGCAUUUUUGACUAAGCAAGAGACCGUGGAGGACAGUCUUUAACACUCCCACCCGCCUUAUUACACACUCCAAAUGUGCAAUGUUGUGCUCACCCAGGCGGAGUCGUUCUGGAGGCCCCUGAGGAGCACUGUAGCUGCCCUCUGCAGCGCCGGCUCUGAUUUAGUAGCAUUAAUAAACAUGAUGUAGUGCUUACAGUGAUAGCGCAGACAGGAUUGUUUCUUUUUUACUUCUCGUUUUUUGAUACCUGCACACAGCUCCACAUGUUUACAUUGGGAGCUAAGAGAAAUAGAGAAAAUAUGGAUUUGCAUGGUUUAUUUCAGUCUAAUUUAAUUAUUCACCAAAAAGGGACGGUAAAAAUCCUGUUCAGGGCAGAUGCAGCACUGUCAGCACAUAGAGCUCAGAUCCUGUCAUGUUACUUUUUGGAGCAAAUCCAGCAACUUGUUGAGCUAAAAUAACAUAUGACGGGAGUUUGACUCAGAGAAAUCCAUGUGUCUAGUCAUGCGAGAUAAGGUUUAAAGGAAUUCCUCACUGAUUAAAAGACAAUUUGCUUGUUCGAGCCUCUUCAAAUAUGCAACUAUACCCAAUAAGUUGGAUUUAUGAAGUGCCUGCCAGCUUCUCCACGGCGCAAAUCUUCUAGCAACAUGUUCCCGGCGCAGAGCCCACAUGGCCAGCCACAGCUGGCUCUUAUUACAGACCCAUACAGUAGCCAUUCUUUUUCACUUACCCCCCUCCCUGUUUGGUGACGCUUAUUAGAAAUGUAACAUACUAGUCUGGGAGUUUGUUACAGAUUUAUUCGUCACAGGUGCUCCUUCUAAAGAGUGUGCAGGGGUGCUGAGCAAUCUGUGGCAAGACAACAUAUCAACAUGUAGGAAGGAGUGAGUAACACCUUUUUUAAACUUUCAACUCUGUCUCUGAACUCGACUCAUUGUUCAUGAAAAAUGAACAGAGAAUAGGAUUUUAUCUCGUAAAAGUCUAUCACUAUCAUUUCAUUAAAACCUACUGUGUGUAUAAAUGGGAAUAUAGCAGUAUGUUGCGAGAUUGAAAUGCUAUGUGGCUCACCACUCCUGGUGAACCUGCAAAAGCAAGUCACCUUUGAGGACAAGAUGCUGCUGUGAUACGUAACAAGUAUGAUCUUCUGCAGGAGAAGUAUUUCAGAUGGCGGCUCACAGAACAACAAAGCAAACAAACAAAGUAUUGCCUUUACUAGUUUGUCCAUUCUGGGCUCCACAGUAGAAACUUGGUGGUGCAAGAUGUUGACCCCAGCUCUUCAUGUAGUUACAAAAAGGUCCAUUCUGAAUCAACGAAAAAAUUAAAAAUAAAUUGUGACAUACUUUUGAGUAUUGAAGUCAACUUCCACCAGGUCUGCUCUGUUAAACAGUACCAAACUCUACCAUUAAGGGAAGCUUAGCAUAUGAAUUAAAAGUAUGUGUAUUUAAAGCUACUGUAAGGAUUUUUCAGAUGGUUAUUAAAAAGACUGAAAUAAAUGUCGAUGCCUCUUAAAGACCCCCACAAGCAAACGAGACUGCUAGAAUGGAAAUCGAAUUUUUCAGUAUCCUAAUUUUCGAUGUCUGAAACUGCUGGUGCAGAUUCUGGUGCACGACGAGUUAUGGUGUAUUGUUUUAUUGACUGGGGGGGCGACAAAAUCAACACAAACUGAAAGUUCCUCAUAGGACAUUUAAGUUAUUAUAUUUUUCAAGUGGUAAAACAUAAAAAAUUAAAAACAUAUAAAUAUCUAUUCUAUUUCAGUUUUUUUAUUUUGCAUGGGGACUCUAUGAUCUUGAAAUAUGGUGGAGUUUGUUGAUUGACUGCAUUAAAGCUUCAUUCCAUUCAGAGUAAACAUAUUUUAAAUACUUACUCAACAUCUAUGCAGGGAUCAUCUAAAAAGUAAAUGGUUUAUUCAAUUUCCAAAGUACUAAAGGGAAUGUAAGUGUUUGCAAGUAGCAUAGCAUAGUUAAGCCAACUUAUCCAACUCUUUUAUUUGAGUUGUAAGUACUUUAUCUAUUCCAUUAUAUAAAAAUAAGUCUCAAAAUAUUUUACAUCACAAAUAUCAAAAAGUGCAGUUUACUUCUGAACAUAAUUCAAUGGAAAAUGUGCUCAGUCACUGUAAUCAGAGAAUGACUCUCCAUGUUGUAAGGGUUGUCUGUAUUAGAAUGAAUUUCCAGAGCCGCCUCUUGAUGGACUCUGACUGGUACCUGCUGUAUCUGCUGCCUGUCUGUCAACACCACAUCCCCUGAGCGUGAGCGUGUGUGCCGGCAGACCGUUUCACCUCGAGUCUUGCAGUGUGACUGCUGCCAACACAUAGGGGAAGAACACACUCCUGCCCAGAAACAUAUAACAGGAUCCUGAGUGACUCCUGCCUCCGAGCAAGCAGGGACACAUCUAAAGAAAGCAUUCUUGUUCAUGCUGCACAACAUGUGACCAGAGGUGAUGAGUUCACGGACUAAGCUUUGAGUCGUGAGCCGGGCUCCUGACAAUGACUGUCUCUUUCCAGCUUUGCCUCGAGUUUCACGGGCCGCUCCCCCUCAGAAGUGUUCCCCCCCUGCCCCUGUCUCGACUCCUCACUUUGUCUCAAUGCUCAACUACACCUCUCCGGUUACUUGGCACCACACCUCCUGGUUGUUAUCCCCUCUGCCUCUUCUCCUUUGACUCCAUCCUCGCCCUCUCAUGCUGAGGGGGGGGGACCCUCAGUGCCUUUAAUGUGGCCUUGGCCCUGUGUUCCUCCUGUCUGUUGGGCUGAUCCAGGGGCAGUGGGUCCCCCGCUCCACCCUGGGUGAUUGAUGGCAGGGAUGCCCUCUCCUCUCACCCUCCACGCCGCACCCCCGGCUAGGCGGACAGCAUAGCGUUUCAUGAGCUCAUCUGUGUGGCGCCCACCUCAAACGCAGGCACCACUCUUGUCUCGUCCCGCAUGACUCCCUGGGGGACACAAAGCAUGUGUGACCUCGCUUUAGCCAGCCUGCAACCCCAUCUCCACACCACCCUCUAGCACCCUCACUGUAUCAUCCCUGUCUGUGGCUUUGUCCUCCAAGGUCUUCACUCUGAACUAAAACAAGAAUAUCUUUUUACUCUGCUUGACAUUUUCAUUCAUGCACCUUUAUCUUCACCUCUGUUGCAAAGAGUACUCAUCUGUGUACUUGUAUGUAUGCUAGGCUAAAGCACAAGUUUUUGUACAGCCCUGAAUCUUCUCAGAAGUUACCCAAGGACAUUUUAAAACCAUCAGGUUGAGACUAUAUUCUUUUUUAUGUUUCCACAAAAACCCAACAACAAUCCACCCUGAGCAGCUGCCUUUACCUAUCUAAAAGCAACCACCUCCAGUGUCAAAUACUCAAGCCAUUGUGGAGGAGCAACAAUCUUCAGCUCCUCAAAUUUCCACUUGAGGCUGACUCCAAUGCCAAGGAAUCCGCACUAGGUCCCAUGUUAAGAUGCCCAUUUUUUUUCGCAAAAUUAGCCAGGUUAAAACAAAGUUUGGGUUGCUGGGCUAAUUUAUUUUUCUUUUUUUUUCACAAUGCAUUUAUCAAACCAGUGAGUUACACCGCAGAGACCCUACCAUGACUUUUUGUUGUUGUUACAUAACACAUUGGUUCCCAUCCUGGGGGUCGGCCCCCCUUAGGGAAGAGUAAGGCUUUGUCUGUUCAGAGGUUGUUAACUGAAACUUACACAAAUUCACUGAAACCCACAUAAAACACUUCCUGGAUGGUUUUGCAUAGCUAUGUCUGUAACUCGCAUUGCAAAAGAUACAUUCUUCCUCACUUCUUUUUGAUAAGAACAUUUAAACUGAGAGUUUCUUGACUUCACUUUCUGUGAGGAUCUCUAGAGACUCUGCUUUUUUACUACACAAGAAAGGGGAGGGGCCUCAGAAAAAUGGUUGGGAAUCAUGGAGGGUAACACAGGCACCUCAAUUUUUCUCCAAACCUAACCAAGUUGUUCGAGGGUAUCAGACGGACAUACCUUUCUUAAGCAGUUCAUUGCAGUUUAAAAUGACCUGUUCAGUUUUUGCAUCAGCAACUCUGCAUGCAAUACAGCUGACUUUCAGACAAGAGUUAUUUUGAAUCAGACGACUCUGUAAAACCUCAGCUAGUGUUCAGUAUCUAUGAUUUUUGCAUCAAUGUUUUACAGUUUUUGACUGCGCAUGACAAUCUCAGAUUGAAGUUAGGAAAAACCUGACAGUGGAAAAGGUCCAUUCCCAAUGGUUAAGGUUUGGGUAUACAACUGCACAUUGAGCUAAGUCAGCGGAUAAUUUCAUCUUCAGGGAAAGAUCACGGUUUGGGUUGAAGUGACUUUGCCGAUAAGUUUAGGAGACCUUUUCAACACAGUCACAAUCAUGACUGUGGAGAACAAUUGUGGUCAUGCUUAACAAAAAUAAAACGUGAAACAUGCAAUGAUCUAACCAUUUGUUGAUCAUCUAUCCACUUUGAGCUCCUUCCUUUGUGAACUCUGUAGUUCACUACCAUCUCACUCCAGUUUCUGCUUUGCUACUGUCUUAACUUCAGUCAAAUGUCACCUGUGGUGUUUUAGGUCUUUGUUUGGAUGACAUGUUGAUGGUUUUCCUGGCCUCAUGAUGAUAUUUAUCAGAAAUCAACCAGCCCUGAUCAAAACAAAAUGACUGGAAAAUCCUAAAAGUUGUGAUGCUAGAACUCAUGAGUGUUAGUUUUUUGACUUAAUCAAAUAAAUAAAUCCUUAAAAAUUGUUCCCGUUUCAUUUGUUAUUGAUUGAUGUAUUAUUUGUUUCUUGUGCCCCUCAACCUUUUAUCCAGCUGCCCAGUUUACCUUAACCUCCCCUCAGGAGGCCAGGAGGGACCGAUCCUCCUCUGCAUGUACGACAUUCCAGGCAGGAAGGAAUCUGAGGACACUGAUCACCUAAUCUCUCUGACUGCAGCAGCACCUGUCGAGGCAGCACUGGAG